rnacentral:rRNA from 1 species
UGACUGCUAUCGGAUUGAUACUAAGCCAUGCGAGUCAUUGUAGCAAUACAAGGCAUACGGCUCAGUAACGCGUAGUCAACCUAACCUAUGGACGGGAAUAACCUCGGGAAACUGAGAAUAAUGCCCGAUAGAACACUAUACCUGGAAUGGUUUGUGUUCCAAAUGAUUUAUCGCCAUAGGAUGGGACUGCGGCCUAUCAGUUUGUUGGUGAGGUAAUGGCCCACCAAGACUAUUACAGGUACGGGCUCUGAGAGGAGUAGCCCGGAGAUGGGUACUGAGACACGGACCCAGGCCCUAUGGGGCGCAGCAGGCGAGAAAACUUUGCAAUGUGCGAAAGCACGACAAGGUUAAUCCGAGUGAUUUGUGCUAAACGAAUCUUUUGUUAGUCCUAGAAACACUAACGAAUAAGGGGUGGGCAAGUUCUGGUGUCAGCCGCCGCGGUAAAACCAGCACCUCAAGUGGUCAGGAUGAUUAUUGGGCCUAAAGCAUCCGUAGCCGGCUCUGUAAGUUUUCGGUUAAAUCUGUACGCUUAACGUACAGGCUGCCGGGAAUACUGCAAAGCUAGGGAGUGGGAGAGGUAGACGGUACUCGGUAGGAAGUGGUAAAAUGCUUUGAUCUAUCGAUGACCACCUGUGGCGAAAGCGGUCUACCAGAACACGUCCGACGGUGAGGGAUGAAAGCUGGGGGAGCAAACCGGAUUAGAUACCCGGGUAGUCCCAGCUGUAAACUAUGCAACUCAGUGAUGCAUUGGGCUUGUGGCCAAUGCAGUGCUGCAGGGAAGCCGUUUAGUUUGCC